CAAGAGAUCUACAACAAAAUAC
rnacentral:snRNA from 1 species